rnacentral:lncRNA from 1 species
CAGUGACUCGUUCAAAAUUAGAGAAAGUAUAUCCAACUUGAAGAGGAUAAAACUGUUGAGAUAAAACAUCAAGUGAAUAUUUGCAUGGUUAUUCAAGUAUACAUAUACACACAAUCAUACAGCUAUGCUUGUAUAUGUCAUAUACAUAAACAUAUACAUAAUAAUAUAUAACCACACAUAUAUUAAGAAACUGUAUAUAUCUGUAUAUAUUAAGAAAGUAAAAUGAACAGCCUGAAUCAACAAAAUAAAGCUUAAUUGUGAAUAAUAUAAAAUAAUCUAUUUAGUUAAAAAUCAGCUAUACCCUCUGCAGAGCGUAAAAGAAAUCGAAAUUAAUAGCAGUUUACAUGGAGGCUAUCUUAAAUUCACAGGUCAGAAUACCACAACUGUCACUGCAGUGAAUUCCUGAUGGAGCUGAGAUGGAUGGAAGCAGACGCUGAAGAACAGGGCAGCUAAGGAAUCCACUGUGUUCUCUGCUUGUCGCCAACACUUGGAAACUUGUCUUAAAAGCCAAGAAGGAAUUUUGGGCAAGGUAUUAAGAAAUAUCAGACCAUACAGAGAAGUUUGGCUGAAGUUUACAAAGGUAAGACAUCUGAUAAAAUGAGGAGCUUGGUUUAAUCUUGAGAAAAUGAAAAAUAAAAGGAUCACGAAAGUUUUUCAAAUACAUGAAAGUUGAGUGUGGGCUUCAAAAGACCUUGUGACAGCAACAAACAAGUGGAUUAUGAUUCGUUAUGUUGAACGUAGUUCUACCAGCGGUUCAGUCUCCGGGAAACAAUAAGUGGGCGUCCCCGGCAGGGGUCCUGCAACUUCCACGACAUGGAGCACAUCUCCUGCAAGUGGAAGCAGAAGGUGUUUUCCCACUGGCUUCACACCGACCUGGAGACAGUAGAUCUUUGGGACCAAUAGAACAAAGCUUUCACCUUCAGGCUAGCGUGUGAAGAGAGAAUUCAGUGCUGCGUGAAGUGUGGGGCAGGAGCAAUCAGUGAGAAAGCACAGCUGGACAAAGAAACCUCUGCUAUUAUCUCAAAAUACUUCUCACUGUAUCUGUGUAGCCAGAGCACAGAAAAUAAAGAGGCUGGUUGCAAAAGAUGACA